AGAGUUUGAUCAUGGCUCAGAGCGAACGCUGGCGGCAGGCCUAAUACAUGCAAGUCGAACGGCUCUUCGGAGCAGUGGCGGACGGGUGAGUAACGCGUGGGAACGUGCCCUUUGGUUCGGAACAACACAGGGAAACUUGUGCUAAUACCGAAUGUGCCCUUCGGGGGAAAGAUUUAUCGCCAUUGGAGCGGCCCGCGUUGGAUUAGCUAGUUGGUGGGGUAAAGGCCCACCAAGGCUACGAUCCAUAGCUGGUCUGAGAGGAUGAUCAGCCACACUGGGACUGAGACACGGCCCAGACUCCUACGGGAGGCAGCAGUAGGGAAUCUUGCGCAAUGGGCGAAAGCCUGACGCAGCCAUGCCGCGUGAAUGAUGAAGGUCUUAGGAUUGUAAAAUUCUUUCACCGGGGAAGAUAAUGACGGUACCCGGAGAAGAAGCCCCGGCUAACUUCGUGCCAGCAGCCGCGGUAAUACGAAGGGGGCUAGCGUUGCUCGGAAUUACUGGGCGUAAAGGGCGCGUAGGCGGACAUUUAAGUCAGAGGUGAAAGCCCAGGGCUCAACCUUGGAAUUGCCUUUGAUACUGGAUGUCUUGAGUUCGGGAGAGGUGAGUGGAAUGCCGAGUGUAGAGGUGAAAUUCGUAGAUAUUCGGCGGAACACCAGUGGCGAAGGCGACUCACUGGCCCGAUACUGACGCUGAGGCGCGAAAGCGUGGGGAGCGAACAGGAUUAGAUACCCUGGUAGUCCAA
rnacentral:rRNA from 1 species